ACAACUUUCAGUGAUGGAUAUCUUGGCUGCCACCUUUGAAGGCGCAGCGAAGCGCGAUAGUCUUUGUGAAUUGCAACUCCGUGAACCGAUGCCCUCCUGAACGCGCAUUGCGCUCUCGGGAUUCCUGAGAGCAGGUCUGCUUCAGUGCUUAGCAUUAUCUAUGUG
rnacentral:rRNA from 1 species